rnacentral:lncRNA from 1 species
CGACGUCGCCUCGGCCCUCCCGGCGGACCCGAAGCCUAAACGUCCGUUUCUUUAAUAACUUUGUAACGGCUCAUCGGAUUGCCGAACCGUCUUCGCCAACGCGUUCGUUUACGUAGCAAUUAGGUUUACGAAGGGUCAAAUGAGAUCAAACACUACCAUUUUACAAAAUCCCAUUUUUGAGCCCUAAUAUGCAAUUAAUCUUCAAUAAUCCAAAUUAAAUGGAGAGAACAUGUUUAGAGCACUCUAGAUACUACUAGAACAUCACUUAUGAAGGAUUUAAAUAAAAUCCCAAAAGCUUACCCCAAUGUGAACGCCGCGACGAAAGUACGCCGCUCCAACGGGCGCACGAAAGCUCGAUCCGUCGCCUCCAAUGCAUUCGCAAGCUCGAUCUCCGCCAACGCCGUGAAUUUGAGCGAGAGAUAUAGAGAGAUGAGAGAGAUCUUUAGAGAGAGAGAGAAGGGUUUCUCUCCCCCUCCCAUGCGUGCGUGUGAUGCUUGCUGGCUGGUUGGAGAAGAAGAAGCUAAUCAGCUUCUAAUUAAAGUCAACACCAAACACUAUUCACUCCAGGGGGGCUUGAAAUCUGAUACGUCUAGUCGGAGCCCUUCUGAACGUCCGUUUGCGCUCAAAUUUGACAGGCAGGCUCGGUUUCACAUAACGAGUCCAAAGAAAUUUUAAUCUUUCAGUUUCGACCCCGUUUGGUCACUGAAAACUGUGCCGAACUGUAAUCUUAAUCAGAUAACUUUCGGAUUUUAUUUCUCACUCUACGGGUGUCAGAAUGAUAUGAAACUUUAAAUCUAGCCUCAUAAAAAUAUUUCUGACAUACCCUCCAGUUUUCAUAAUUUUCUGACACUGUGCAUUUUCUGCUAAUCUAUCUGCCCCCUUUUCCACAGAAAAUUCUAAAUUUUAUAUUUUCGCUCCGAUUUCAGCACAGGUCAUUCCUAACCCAUAUUCCACUUCUCUAAAUCCAAUAAAAUAGUAUCCCAUACUAUUUUUAUUUAUUUUCACCUUUAUAUUUAAAAUCCGGUAUGUUACAUUCCGCCGCAACCCCACCGGAACCAUUUAAAUGUACACCGUAACUUCAUAGUUUUAGAAGUCCGGUACCUCACAUUCUCCUCUCCUUAAAAGAGUUUCGUCCUCGAAACUAACUCACUUCAUAUCCAAACCCCGACCCCAAUUCGACUUAUUGAGUCAUCGAGGGUUCCAAUGCACUUUCGUAUCUCGAAGUGGCCUUUUACUCAUCGGGACUAUCCAAGGGCCCACUAUAGAGGACGUGAGACCAAUUUCACUCACGUUCGCUAAGCGUAACACCGAAAGUGCAUUACUACCUCCGCAAGCCUCGAUGGCAGCGCGAGUCGACAUUCGACGACUCCUCACUCUCCAACAUCGCUCGCACAAAUUCAGGGAAUACACUCCGAUUAGAUCACCGUUGCUUAAAAGCAAGAUCGUUGGUGCAUCGACCCCUCGGAAGUGCUCCAGUCCUCAACCGGAUCCUUGCUCUACUGUGAGAUGGCCCACUUUGGCACAUCUCAAAUCUCAAUCCUCACGUGGCUUUCCAUAAUCCAAGUGUCUCCUAGAGACCACUUUACUUUCUCUUUCAAUUGCCACGGCCAACAUUAAUUUGCUUUCGCAACGAGCUCACACGAACACCCAGUUCGUGAAUCUAAGCCAAACGCCUCGACAGAGUUAUCGGCCAAACCGAUCACCUCGGUUUCCACAAGUGAACCACAAGUCGCCAACCCUACGUCGGCCUAACACUUAAACCUGUCUCAACGACACAUAGCGCCUCUCGCUCGCUAGCGUUGACCCAAUCAGCACUGGGCGAAAUUCUCACUUGGGAAUUCGCACACACUCCACGAGUAUUUAUCCUCGGGCGCUCUACACACCGCACACUAAGUCCAGCAUUAGGCAACCUUGCCUAUGCAAACCGGCCACACGAGCACGACUCGCCCACCUCAAUUCGAGGUACUAUUAGGCCCACAGGCCAAACUCAGCACUAAUCAACCACGUUCGAAACAGUGAUUCACCUUCACUGUUCGAUCUACCAGAUCUAUAUCCGAACUCUCGGACUGCUCAGGGACAUCAGCUGUCCCCACCCACGCCGAUCUAAUAAGAUCGCUCACGCGACGCCAUCAUGUCCUAAAACGCGACAACUCGACUGGUUCUCGACCCUCCAGGUCAAGUACGAAGCAACCAACACCGACUCAAAUCGGGCGAAAGUCACAUAAGAGCGUCUAUUCUCAUCACCCGGCUUCAUGUUGGGUGCACCCAACAUGAACACCCUCGGUUGAGAAUACACCACACUUUGAGUUUACCUCUAACGUCCGUCUUAGAGGUUUCACUAACUUGACCCAAUCGAUUCAACUUCCGCCUCGUCAUAGGUUCACGUCGCACUCACGCACCUAUAACCUUAGGAUUCACCAUCCUAGGGUCUCCUAGGUCCAUCCUAGACUCUCUCUUUGCUUACUCUUAACUCGCUCUGAUACCACACCUGUCACGCCCCGCCCCGAGACCGCUACCAAUUUGGCACGAUUUGGGCGCGGCGGGUGUGGCGCCGAACGGACAGCACCUCCCCUGUCCGCCCAAGGCUAAAGCGACGAGAUCAUGUACAACAAGUUUCCAAGAAAACAACUUGAAUACAUACAUGAUCAAAGACAACAACGAGAGCACAACCAGUGCUAAACAUACAAAGAGUAAGCAUCACAAGUAGAAUCAUACAAGUGAAAAAAAGAUAUAUAAACUAACUAUUACAUCACGUUUGGCAUUCAACUUUGAUACAUUUAACCUCAUUUAAACUUUGAUAUAGUCAUUACAACUUUGCUUCCUUUUUCCAAAAUGUAAAUACAUAUAGUCACUCUCCAACCUCACCCUAUACAUCAUCUACUCUCGGAUAUAAACAUAGGGUGAACUAAUGCAAAAUAGGAAGUAAGCUACUAUCAACACUAGGGCGCUAUGCCCUUACCACAGUCCUCAGCCGCUGCUCUCUCGCGUGUACCUGUACCCCAAACCACACGGGGUGAGAACUGUAUAAAUAUAGUUCCCAGUGGGUUCGGCCGCUAACUCCGCCGAUCUUCCCACUAGGUCUAAGCAGGCAUAGGAAGACGAAGACAGAUAGAUAGAUAUAUAUGAAAGCAGUAACGAUAAAGCAUAAUAUAAAAUGAUGCUAAUGUCCAACUAUGCCUCAAUCCAAUGCAAUGAAUGCGUGCACUACAUAGUAAAAAGCCAACUACUAUGCUACUAUGCUCAACAAGGUUACUUGUGUCACAUUGGUGAGGAUCCGCUCACUCACCCGACUCACACUCUAAACACAACGGGGAGGAUCCGCUCACUCGCCCGACUCACGACACACACACAACGGGGAGGUCCGUUCACUCACUCGACUCUCAAUUUAAACACAACGGGAAGGAUCCGCUCACUCGCCCGACUCACGACACACACAACGGGGAGGAUCCGCUCACUCGCCCGACUCUCGAACUCAAUCUAGUGGAAGAGGAACCGCUCACUCAAGGUGAGAACUACUCACUCAACCAUCUGUCGAUCUCGUGGAAAAGGAACCGCUCAACCAAGGUGAGAACUACUCACUCAACCAUCUCUCAGUCUCGUGGAAGAGGAACCGCUCACCCAAGGUGAGAACUACUCACUCAACCAACUCUCAGUCUCGUGAAAAAGGAACCGCUCACCCAAGGUGAGAACUACUCACUCAACCAAGACCGUCUGCAUGGCCCAAAAAGGCUAACCCCUCGGGACCCAAAAAGGCUAUCCCAAUCGUGUGACAACUCCGGAGUGCACUGCUUGUGUGGAGCGACCACACCAAGCUUCGAACAGACAUUGCUGUAUGAUCAAAUCCCCAUCAUUGAGGAUACCCUACCACUUAGACAACAUCACUUGGGAACUGGUUCACCACUAAGUUCAACAUAAAACAAAUGUUUUCUCUAUACUUUACCAAUCAUGCAACUCAUCAAGUUUAACUAUUAACUAGAUGCCACUCGUCAAGUUUAACAUUCUCAACACUAGUUAUUCUUUACUAGGCUCAACAUUCAUAACACCAGUUGGAUCACACUAGGUUUUCAUCCACAUGAACAUCAACCAUCACAUAUAGGGUUAACUACUUCAAGCUCAACUCAUGCAUACUAGGUUCAAUGCUAUAACCAUAAAGCCGACUCACACUAGCAUGCAAAUAAUGUAUAUAAAGCAUCUUUAAUACCCUAUAUGCAACAUGUACCAAUAUGCAUAACUGAUCGAUAACUGAACUUAGACAUAGGGAGCAGCCCAGCUGCUUCGGGAUGGCACUCCCCCACCUUUUACAGCGUUCCGAUUGCUCGUCGUCACUUGCAAUCGGCCUCCCUCGACGCUCGGCACCCGUUUGGGCCCGAUCUCACAGUUGCACUCCAAGAGCGCUCCGCUUCGCCGUUUCAAGUGCACUAGCUCUUCGGUUAUGUGCCACGAUGCCUCAAAUCCAUUUUCACGAUUUUACGACGUCGCCUCGGCCCUCCCGGCGGACCCGAAGCCUAAACGUCCAUUUCUUUAAUAACUUUGUAACGGCUCGUCGGAUUGCCGAACCGUCUUCGCCAACGCGUUCGUUUACCUAGCAAUUAGGUUUACAUAGGGCCAAUUUAGAUCAAACCCAUACAUUUUAUAAAAUCCCAAAAUUGGAGCCCUAACAUGCUACUAUUGCAAUAAGCUUCAAAAUUGAUUCAUGAUUUAAGCAAUUAGCAUGUAGAUAUCAUAUAGAGAGUCCUCUAAACCCAUUCCUAGAGCAUAUAAUUAAAGCUCUAAGGUUCUACCAUUUUUAAAAACCUAGCCUCUACACAUGCUCCAAGUAACCCAAAUUAAAUGGAUUCAACAUGCUAAUCAACACAUUAGAGGCUAUUAGAACACUAAGCAUUAAGGAUUAAGCCAAAUCCCAAAAACUUACCUCAUUGUGAACACCACGGCGAGAACACGCUGCUCCAACGGCCGCGCAAAAGCUCGAUCCGUCGCUCCCAACGCGUUCGCAAGCAUCAUCUCCACCAAUCCCGCGAAUUUGAGCGAGAAAUAUAGAGAAAUGAGAGAGAAAUCUAGAGAGAGAAAGGAGGGUUUCUCUCUCCCUUCUCCAUGCGUGCGUGGGUGUGGGUGUGCUCGGGCUGAAGGAGAAAGAAGAAGCACAUUGCUUCUUAUAUACUUUAACACCCAAAACACUAUUCACUUCAGGCAGUUUUUGCAGUUCGGAACAGUUGGAGCCCUUUUGAAUGUCCGUUUGAGCUUAAAUUUGACAGACAGGCUCAGUUUAAUAUACUGAGUAAGAAUAUAUUUUAAGUUUUUAGUUUCGACCCCAUUUGGUCACCGAAAACUGUGCCGAACUGUAAUCUUUAUCAGAUAACUCUCAGAUUUUAUUUCUCACUCUACGGGUGUCAGAAAAAUAUGAAACUUUAAAUCUAGCCUCAUAAAAAUAUUUCUGACUUAUUCUCCAAUUUUUAUAAUUUUCUGAGACUGUACAUUUUUUGCUAAUUUAUCUGUCCCGUUUCCAACAGAAAAUUCUAGAUCUUCUGUUUUCAUUCUGAUUUCAGCACAAGUCACUUCUGACUUAUGCUUUACUUCUCUAAAUUCAAUAAAAAUAGUUUCUUACACUAUUUUUAUUUAUUUUUAUUUUUAUACCAAAAUCUGGUAUGUUACAUUAUCCACCCCUUAAAAAGAAUUUCGUCCGCGAAAUUUAAACCACGCCUCAAUUUAGCUCCGCGAGCAAUUGAGGGUACCAACUCAUUCCCCCACUCCAAAGCGGCUUCACACUAUCGUUGUUCCAGAAGCGGCUCAUACUGAAAAACGUGGGUUUAAUCCUAAACUCAUUUGCAAAGUGUGAUACAAACGUGCAUCACGGAUCUUGCAAGUCAUAGUGGCAGCGCAAGUCGGUACUCGACGACUCUACGCGCUCCAACACCACUCACCAUUCGGUGCACAAAGAACUCUUCUUUGCACUUACCUUUCCUUCAGGGAAUACAUUCUGAUUCGAUCACCGACAUUGCUUUGGAACAGUAUCACCGAUGCAUCGCUUCGUCAUGAGUGCUCUAAUUUCGCACUGACCCUUAACUUUAACGUGAGAUGGCCUAUCUUAGCACAUCCCCAAUUCCAAUCCUUCAACUUCACGUGGCUUACUACUAGCUCAAGGUCUCACCAAAAGCAUUUCAUUUCUGAUAUCACAUGCCACGGUCAACAUCGAACUAUUUUCGCAACGAGCUCACACGAACGCUUCGUUCGUGAAUUCGAGUCAAACUCCUCGAUAAGGCUAUUUGCCAAAUCGCUUUCUUUGGUCUCCACAGGUGGACCAUAGGCCACCAAUCCUACGUAGGCUUACCGCCUAAACCUGUCUCAAUACGCAACGUCUCUCGCUCGCAAAUGCAGACCCAAUCAUGAUCGGGCGAAAUUCUCACUUGGGAAUUCGCUCACACUCCAACCAGGAGCAACUAAGAUCCCAAACCGUUACAGAUCCCCGGGUUGGGUCACACUCGUACUCUCGGUAUUCUAUCAAUCGCACGACAUGCUCUACCGAGUCACACGUACCACUACCGGCUACUAUACACCUAAUGCGAGUCACAAGCCCUACGAGUGAUCCAUGACACGCUUCACACCUAGCAAUGCUCGAGUGCUACUGCCAACACACUCACUCGGCUGAUCCAUAUCCGCACUCCACGAGUACCUAUACUCGGGCGUCGCACGCUACUAUAGCGUUCCUUACUAAGUCCAGCAUUAGACAACUCUUACCUACGCACGUCGACUUUACGAGCACGACCUUCCUACCUCACGUUGAGGUACUACUAGGCCCACAUGCUAAUACUUGGCCAUUAACCGAUUGUUCCGUCAACAGUGAUUCACUUUCACCAUUCGACCCACCGAAACGACAUCCGAAAUACUCGGACCACUUGGGUGUUCUCAAAUACCACGGCUCAACUCUCGCAAUCUACUAAUUAAGUUGCUCUGAGAGUCGAUUAGCCACCUCUGUCUCUACCGCGAGUUUCACUUCUCGCCAAAGGUCACUACUAGCACUUCGCUAGUGCCUUCUGGCUCUAUACCUAUACUAGCAGGUACUACUCCCUCACAACACGAGCAUGCCCGGGUAUCUAUACUCACCCGUCCACUCGGUCUUCAACCUGGGUCACGUAUCUACGGCCACCCGACGCUUGCUGCGAACCUUUAGGUUGCAUUGUCCUCAACGCCCUCUCUCCCGACCAUGCCGCAGAUGGCACACCUACAGGCCAUCCUAGAGAGAAAUAGGCUGUCGCCAGUGUCAGGCCCCGGCUGUCACCUUACAGACACUCGUCCCGCGCACAGCCCGGUUGCCCACACCUGUAGCACUUGCCCUCUCACAGCUUGCAAUACUAUGGGUAACGAAAACACCCACAAACGACACAUCUCACUAAGGACCGAACACAGUAGGUCCCCGGAACUCAGAAUCACGAGCGCGAACACAUUGCACUCAGUUGAAAACUUGACGGACUACUGAAUCCACUCAUUGGCCGUCCUAUUUUCUUUUUCCUUGCAAAUGGACUCACGCUCCCUUCGCACAAUUGCACUGCCUUGUUCUAUCCACAAGGCCUAAUCCUCAAAGCUCCUCUAAUCCUCCUCUUUAGAAAAGCUCCUGGAGAGUGAGAGAAGAAAGAAUAUGGAGUUGAAGGGGUACUCCUUGCUGUGAACAAGGAAAGAAGGGGUGUGGGGUUUAUACAAACCGCCACAAC